GGACCAACUCACGAACCAGAUGCACAAACAAGUACAAACAAUUCAACAACACACGGCACGGCCAGCGAUGUGACGUCAUCGACCAUCGGGAUAGUUCUGUCCGUUGGGGGCGUGGCCGUUAUCAGACAAGUGCUAUAGACCGUCCUUCUUCACACAGUCCAA
rnacentral:lncRNA from 1 species